UAUAGAGGCGCACAAGAUCCAAAACAAGUUCCUCAACUCUGAAAUCUACCAGCUUACUAAGCUGUGGAGGAACAGUUCAGAAGAGGAGAAGGGCCUCCUGAUGAAGUGUGCCUACCUGGAGGCCAAAAACUGCCAGAUUGAGAGCAAGUACCUGGUCGUGCUGCGCAGGCUGCAGGAGAGCAAAGGGCUGGACAGCAGUCAGCAGGAGAUGGUGAAAAGGCUCAUUGAGGACUCACUGCAGGGAGACAAGAAGGAUGGCUUUAAACUCAACCCUGUCAGUCUCCUACACAUUUGCAAGUUCCAGUAAAGGUAGUCUGGAUUUUCUACAUUUGCACCUCAGAGAAGAGCAUCUAGUGGUGCAGCCACAUGUUAUGAGUUGCAUACAGGAUGCAGGUACAUGUGGAAGAGAUAGGAGAACUGGUGUCACCUGAUCAUCCUUGAGUUCCCAUCCCAUUGCACAGCAGCUUUGCCUUCGCCAGCCCCCUGCCGGAACAGCCUGCCUGUAGGGACCCCACGCCUGCUUGCACCGGACGUCCCCAACCCUCUCUACAGCCGUGGCCAGUUCAUUACCAGGAGCUACCCCAUUGUGGCCCCUGCUCUACACUGGGAGGGUUGCCCCCAACCCCACAGCACUUCCAGGCUGCCGUUACUACAAACAUCGGCCCUCCUCCAAAGCCCACGCCUGCCCUAGCUAUGUCCCAGAAGACCGGCAUGAAGCAGCAAUCUGCCACCCCGCCUGAGACAAAGACAGCAGUGGAAGCAGUCUGGCACCGUAGCUGCGAGGGGCUUAUCCAGCAUUCCAUUAACAUUGGUGAGUCCUCCCCGAUAGGCAGCACCCCCGCCGACUUCCACUCGCCAAACAGGGAGUAGCUGAGGAAAGUAUCCGGGAGAUGAGAGAGGCUAACAUUGGCAGUGGCUGUCUUUGUAGCUGGAGUUGUCUCUUUUUGGAAAAUGCAAAAAAUGGUUAUAAUGACUUCUUUGUAAAGACUGUGUAAAUUUGUUGUUGGUUAUUUAAGAUGGGUGCUGAAGUGACGUGCAAAUAUAUACAUUCACAGUAUUUGACUGCUGUAUACUCCUCAAUGGCCCUGUUCACAGGAUGUCUUGUUCCCCUUACUGAAAUGUAUGCUACCUUAUUUCAACAUUUUGUCAUUCCUGAUCAGGUUAUGUUGAAUGUGGUGUGUUAUUUAUAAGGACCCACCAAUUAACUGUAAACCUAGGGGCAAACUUUCCUCCUCUGAUUUCUUCCCAUUCUGUUUUAUAGACAUGUCUAUCAAUGGAGGGAAUUACUUUUAUUUUCAGUGACCUGAACCUCUUGCUAAAUGCACUCCAC